GACGAACGCUGGCGGCGUGCCUAAUACAUGCAAGUCGAACGCUUCUUUCCUCCCGAGUGCUUGCACUCAAUUGGAAAGAGGAGUGGCGGACGGGUGAGUAACACGUGGGUAACCUACCCAUCAGAGGGGGAUAACACUUGGAAACAGGUGCUAAUACCGCAUAACAGUUUAUGCCGCAUGGCAUAAGAGUGAAAGGCGCUUUCGGGUGUCGCUGAUGGAUGGACCCGCGGUGCAUUAGCUAGUUGGUGAGGUAACGGCUCACCAAGGCCACGAUGCAUAGCCGACCUGAGAGGGUGAUCGGCCACACUGGGACUGAGACACGGCCCAGACUCCUACGGGAGGCAGCAGUGGGGAAUCUUCGGCAAUGGACGAAAGUCUGACCGAGCAACGCCGCGUGAGUGAAGAAGGUUUUCGGAUCGUAAAACUCUGUUGUUAGGGAAGAACAAGGACGUUAGUAACUGAACGUCCCCUGACGGUAUCUAACCAGAAAGCCACGGCUAACUACGUG
rnacentral:rRNA from 1 species